rnacentral:rRNA from 1 species
AACGAACGCUGGCAGCAUGCUUAACACAUGCAAGUCGAACGAGAUCUUCGGAUCUAGUGGCGCACGGGUGAGUAACGCGUGGGAACCUACCAUUCUGUACGGAAUAACGUUUGGAAACGGACGCUAAUACCGUAUACGCCCUGUGGGGGAAAGGUCCGCCGCAGAAUGAGGGGCCCGCGUCCGAUUAGCUUGUUGGUAGAGUAAUGGCCUACCAAGGCAACGAUCGGUAGCUGGUCUGAGAGGAUGAUCAGCCACACUGGGACUGAGACACGGCCCAGACUCCUACGGGAGGCAGCAGUGGGGAAUAUUGGACAAUGGGGGCAACCCUGAUCCAGCAAUGCCGCGUGUGUGAAGAAGGCCUUAAGGUUGUAAA